GGAGCGGUGGUCUAGUGGCUAGGGCACUCUGUCUUGUAUCGUUAUCCGUAUACCUAGAACCUAUAGCCUCUUCAACGGCAGAGAGAUCGGUGGUUCGAGUCCACCCCGCUCCC
rfam:Colletotrichum orbiculare MAFF 240422 contig00360, whole genome shotgun sequence.